AGUAGCAGCCAGCGAGCAAGGAGGCUGGUGAAGGCAGAGGAGGGAGCCAGAGGAGGGGAUCGAGGGGCAACGCGAGGAGUGAGCAACCACGCACGGCAUCCUUCCUUCGGAGCCAAGUGAAGCGGCCGAACUGGUCCUGAAACACGGUGCAGUGCUCGAGCGGAUCGUGGCGUGUCGGGUCCCCAGUUCCGGGGCCCGGCGUCCGCAGCCCUCAGUCGUUCGCCGAUGCCCCGACGAGGAGGAGCACCGAGUUGUCCUAGGGCAAGGUCAUCCCUUGGAUGAGCCACCCUGUGAAUCUCCGACCGAUUCGAACCUCCCAGUUCGCGCGUGCCAUCCGCGACCCUCGUUAUCUCGUGCUUCUCGACGUUCGUGUAACAUUUUCACUGAUGUUCGCGUCGCGUUCGUCGGGGUCGUGUUUCAGGCUCGUCGAACCUCGAGUUUGAAAUCUCGUUUCGAUCGAAGGAUUUCCUCGCGAACGACGUUCCAACGUGACUAUCGUUUCUCUGUUGCCAUGGACUCGAAUUUUACGGGAAAUCGACUGGGUAAUCGAGAGUACCGGCAUUUCCGACGAUUACCGGCAAGGUCUAUGAUCACGCGGAUCGAUAGGGGAUCGAUGGAGGAAAAAGGAGCUCGGAGAAGAUGGGAUACCUUACGGCGCGGUGGCCAGACCAGGGAUACAGUGAACGAGCUUCAUGUACGGGACAACGUGACGUUCCAUCCAGUGAACCACGGACCGUUCUAAGAUCGUUCGUUUGAAAGCAAACAUAUUUUCGUAUACGUCGAUGAUACUAGGAGAAUGUUAACAGAGGGUGCUACGGAGAAAUGAUCUUAUUAACAGGUGUCGAAGCUCGUUUGGACUAUUUCCUCGUAAGAAGAUACUCGGAGUGCGAGAUCGUCCACUGACUGACAAGUUCGAUUCGCAGCGGUCGUGCCUUGUGACGCGUGACGAGGAUAAAUCGCGUUUUCACCGUAUCGGCAAAGUGGACGAUUAGGCUUGGUACGCGCGCGAUCGAGGGAGGAGGUGCAACGGGGGCAGUGAGACGAAGAAAGGACGUGAAACUGCACGGGCACGGCGAAAGAGCGUAGAAGAAAGAACAGGCGAAAAAAGAGCGAACGAUAGAGAAGCACGAGGGGAACGAGGCCGAGGGAACCGGAGGAACAGAGACGGAACGAAAAAAGGAGGAUUUGCCAACUUCCUGCGAGCCGAGAACGUGAGAGAAAGGCCGCCUCGAAGCAUGUAUAGCUCGAUCGAUAAACAAACCUUCGUCGAAGCGUAAUAUCGAGGUGUGGACUCUCGUGUACCCUGGUCAAUUGGAAUAUCUUGGUCUUGCAUAAAGAUGCCGCCUUAUCGAUUCUCAAAUUUGAAAUUUUUCAGCAUCUUUUAAUUCCAUCGAGAGCAAAACGUCGAUGAAAAUACUACGAUUUCGUAAUCCGAAUGAAAAUUCUGUUGAAAGUCAAAGCACGUCGCGGUUAACGGAGGCCCACGCGCAACAGUCUGACAGGUGUUGCGCUUCCGGUUCCAGAUCGGAGUCCAUCGAGCCGGCUCCGCUACCCAAGGAGCAUAUAAUGCGGUUUUAAUGCCAAAGGUGUCGGGUUUCAUAAACGAACCGGUACGAGCUCCGUAUGCGAGUUUGUCACGGGUCAUUCGCGUCGCGGGUUACGAAAAACGAGCGGUUGAAACGAGCACAUGGCACGUGGGCGUCCGACGGAGAGCCGUUUCCUUUUCGCGCGAAAAUGAUACCAGGCAAACAAAGAAAAGGACAGGGAUACGUUGAGAAAGCGAGAAAGAGGAUGAAAUCGUUGAACCGUUCCUUCAGGUGUGAAGCUAAGUGUAAUAAUCUAAUUGUAUCGAAUAUCCUCGAAAUAUGAAAUUGAAAUGAUAAUUUUCGUGAAAUGGUUGUGAUUCGGGACUUUGCAACGAACGGAGUCGGAUCAUUAAAAUGGAAUAUUUUUAGCGAACACUCGUUACGAUACAGAUGACACGUACGAUUGGAUAGAGAAAGAGGGACUUUAAUUCGAUGAAUAAUAACAGGACAGAAGAUCGGAAAGAAAAUUUCAGGUGCGUAUUGGACGUGGUCGAGCAGUGGUGACUUCGUCGUUGGAAGAUCGAGGCCCCGGGGACUUCGAUGCGUGCACAGACGAUGGAUUUCCGGCGCCAUUGGACGAAGGCCGAGUGUCCAUCAGACAGAAACCACCCCCGCAACGGCUUCUCAAUCUGCCCAAAGCGAGGAGGUUUCACGGGCGGUGCGGAAAAAAUCCCUGGUCCGUCCGAUACGUGAAAUUGGCCUGGCGGGCAGCAGAAUCGGCGGGCAUAAUCGAGGUGUAGCAGACAGAGCACUCGUUAAUGACCGAUUCCACGAUGAUUGUAAUCAACGGAGAUGCUAUUUCGAUGGGAGAGAUGCAAUGAAUGCAAUUAAUAAGAAGGAUGGCGAAAAGUUAUAAAAGAAACUUGAUAUUCCCUUGAAUAUUUAUUAGUAUAAAAAUAUUAUGUAUUCCUUCAUCGUUUACAGAUUUUCUGUUUUUUAUUUUGACUGAAAACUUCUUUAAAAAAGAGACACUAAUUUUUACGUAGUGAGAAAUUCCGUAGGAACGAAGCCUGAAUAUUUUGUAAUGUCGAGA